UUCUUUUACCUCAUUUUUACUUUUGUCACUCUUAAAAAUCUAAACCCCCGUCUCUCUCUCUCUUUCCCUUUCUCCACCGCCCUACCCUCGCCCACAUCGCCGCUAGCCAGAUCUGUCGCCACCAAGCCAAGUCCGGCAUCCAGUACGCCAUCGCCAUCAUCUAUUCCAGGCGACUUGAAGCCUGGAGCUGAAGUUAAGAUUACUGGACCUGUUGGGAAAGAAAUGCUCAUGCCAAAGGAUCCCAAUGCUACAGUUGUAAUGCUCGCCACAGGAACUGGAAUAGCUCCUUUCCGUGCAUUCUUGUGGAAAAUGUUCUUUGAGAAGCACGAGGAUUACAAGGUCACUUUCCACUUAGUCUGGACGUCGUAUUGACAAUACUUACCUACAAGGUUCUCCUGUAAACAUUCGGAUAGGCACUAAAGCAUUGGUCCCAGAUUUUGAGGAAGGAAUUAGAGACAUGAGACCCUGGGGACAAAAAGGGGAUAAUCAUACUUCCAGAACUAGGACCUCUGCUUUGUAUGACAUCCUAGAAAGAAAUGAAGCCUAGAGCUGAAGUUAAGAUUACUGGACCUGUUGGGAAAGAAAUGCUCAUGCCAAAGGAUCCCAAUGCUACAGUUGUAAUGCUCGCCACAGGAACUGGAAUAGCUCCUUUCCGUGCAUUCUUGUGGAAAAUGUUCUUUGAGAAGCACGAGGAUUACAAGGUUGGGAAAAGUCAGAAAAUGAGGUUGCAGUUCUAAAGCAGCAACUUGAGGCAGCUGAGCAGCAGAACUUGACUUUGGAUGUUUGCGUCAACCAUCUUGAUGUUUGCGAGGGGUGAAGUAGUCUAAUGUUGUAGACUAACUUAAUGUAGAUUAGUUUAAUGUUUUGUGGAUGUUUACAAAUGUUGAAGUAGUUUAAUGUUGUUUUGAUGUUUGCAAAGGUUGAAGUAGCUUAAGUCUCUUGUGAAUGUUUGAUUGAUGUUUUUAUUCAACUUUGAAGUAGUUUCAAAUUGAAUUUGAUGUAUUGGUGGUUGUAGUAUAUGUGUUGUAAUAGUAGUUUAAUGUUUUAUGUA